rnacentral:rRNA from 1 species
AGCGCAGACGGCGAAGCAAGUCUGAAGUGAAAUGCAUGGGCUCAACCCAUGAAUUGCUUUGGAAACUGUUUGGCUUGAGUGUCGGAGGGGUAAGCGGAAUUCCUAGUGUAGCGGUGAAAUGCGUAGAUAUUAGGAGGAACACCGGAGGCGAAGGCGGCUUACUGGACGACAACUGACGUUGAGGCUCGAAGGCGGGGGGAGCAAACA